rnacentral:piRNA from 1 species
UCAAUCUGUAAAAUGGGGAUAAUAUUGGGU